rnacentral:rRNA from 1 species
UACGUAGGGUGCGAGCGUUGUCCGGAAUUAUUGGGCGUAAAAGGGCUCGUAGGCGGUUCGUCACGUCGGGAGUGAAAACUCGGAGCUCAACUCCGAGCCUGCUUCCGAUACGGGCAGACUAGAGGUAGGCAGGGGAGAGCGGAACUCCUGGUGUAGCGGUGAAAUGCGCAGAUAUCAGGAGGAACACCGGUGGCGAAGGCGGUUCUCUGGGCAUUACCUGACGCUGAGGAGCGAAAGUGUGGGGAGCGAACAGG